rnacentral:rRNA from 1 species
GACGAACGCUGGCGGCGUGCUUAACACAUGCAAGUCGAACGGAAAGGCCCUGCUUUUGUGGGGUGCUCGAGUGGCGAACGGGGGAGUAACACGUGAGUAACCUGCCCUUGACUUUGGGAUAACUUCAGGAAACUGGGGCUAAUACCGGAUAGGAGCUCCUGCUGCACGGUGGGGGUUGGAAAGAUUCGGCGGUGGGGGCUGGACUCGCGGCUUAUCAGCUUGUUGGUGGGGUUGUUGCUUACCAAGGCUUUGACGGGUAGCCGGCCUGGGAGGGUGACCGGCCACAUUGGGACUACGAUACGGCCCAGACUCCUACGGGAGGCAGCAGUGGAGAAUCUUGCGCAAUGGGCGGAAGCCUGAUGCAGAAACGCCGCGUGCGGGAUGACGGCCUUCGAGUUGUAAACCGCUUUCGCCUGUGCCGAAGCGUGAGUGACGGUAAUGGGUAAAGAAGCACCGGCUAACUACGUG